rnacentral:lncRNA from 1 species
UGGGAAGCAUUUUGGACUGGGAGAGCUAUCUGCUGUGGGGUCCAGUGUUGUGGGAAAACCCUCAAGACCUACGUAGAGAGGAAUUCUGCCCAGACUCUGCCGCACUUGGUAGCAAGAAAGCUUUCUCCUGGGUGUCUCCUGGAAAAGUUGCAAAAUUGCUCUUCACCUGUAAGAACAUGCUCUUUAUCAUCCAGUCUCUUCUUGUCAAUUUGGAAAUUGCAGAGAGCCCGGCUCAGGUACAGUCCCCACAAACCCUAUUCUAGGUCAGGACAAAAGCCACUGGCUUGGGGGGGGGGAGUGGGGGGUUGGGCUCUUGUACUGAAAACCAUAAAGGCUUGGUGGGAGAAAGACUCCUUGGAUGAAAAGUCUAACUCUUGAUUUUCAGUAAGUCCUUGAACUUCCAAUAUACUUACUAUGUGGUCAUUAUAUUUUCGCUGUUCAUAUUUAACUUUUUUCCCCUACAUCCUGUGUCUUUAAAUUUUUUAUUUUCCAUGAGUCUGACUU